UGGCCAGCAUAGUGAAGGGCGGCGACCAGCCGGAACGUCUUCAAGGAGCGGACUACUGCCGCUGUCGCCGUACAGCAGCGACGGCGGUGUGAUGAGAUGCAGUUAGUGGAUGUGCCGGAACGUUUGUCGUCUCCUUAGUGUGUGUGUUUAGAAUGCAUAGCUAAACACAGGGGGGAGUGAUGUUGCCGACAAACUGCACUAGGUAGUUGGUGUUGCGGCUCAUUUCGGCUCUGAUCGUAGCUGCCGGGCCGGGCCGACUCGUGAUCUCGGCCGGCGCCGCUCCACGCCGCCGCCGCCCCCAUCCCCCUGCCAUGCCGCCGGCAGAUGGGCCGUCCGCGAGAGAGUUUAUGGCAGUGAUCGGGUGACGGGACGCUCCUCUCUCCCUGCGACCGUGUCCUACAGCUGCAGUUGUAUGAAAGGAUGCGCUGUUACCGGAGGGACUGACCCGGGGGGAGGGGGUGGGCUGGCGUGGCGUCGCACGUGGAACUGUGUCCCCGGCGGGUCGGAGCCGUUAGGCCGACAUGUGCCGACCGCGUGGUAGGGUUACCAGGACGCUGUGUAGUGUGUAGCUUCUUCGUUAUUUCAUCACUUCCGUCGCCAUCUGUGUCCUCCCGACCCAGUACAUAAACGGGGCGGGACCAACCCUCGCUCUCACUUCUUUACUUUUCGGCGCCGAGAGAGCACUGCCUCGCUCUCUGGCCAACUCUUCUUAUCAGUGAUACUGUGUUGUCAUCGCCUAUUCGCCAUCUGCAAUACUCACCAGUUCGGAAGAAUCUUGUGUUUGUGAAUGGUGAAGAGUGGAGUGCAGCGGCGGAUAAGAGCACGGGGAGAGUGGCACACAGUCAGUUCGCACAGUCUUCUAUUUCACGGUGACCGGGUCUACUUAUCAUUCCUAUCUGAUUCCUUAUUUUCCUAAUACCUCUUGCUCUCUGAAAAGAGGGUUCCUUUGUCUCUCUGUAAAGAGGGCUCUAUAUUUAGGUCUUAACAUGCUCUCUGUAAAGAGGGUUCCUUUGUCUCUCUGAAAAGAGGGCUCUGCAUACCCUUUUAGGUCUUAACAUGCUCUCUGUAAAGAGGGUUCCUUUGUCUCUCUGAAAAGAGGGCUCUGCAUACCCUUUUAGGUCUUAACAUGCUCUCUGUAAAGAGGGUUCCUUUGUCGCUCUGAAAAGAGUGCUCUUAAACCUUGAUCCAAAAUUAUAUCCAUUCAUAUAGCAUCCCCUUCUUAUAUUAUAAAUUCCCAUUUCGCCUCAUUACCAUAUCAACCUAUAUCCUGUCAGGCCCCGGUCGCCACACCAAAUGAUGCGAGACGUCAACACACACACAGUUAUACAGUCCACUGAGUCAAGUUGAAGAACGUCUGCAACAGCCCUGUUUCACCACCCAGACACUGUGUGCGCUGGCAGCUAUGCUAUGGUAGCUACGGCAUACCAUAGCGUCACUCAAAUGACGUUGCAUGUGAUCUCUUUGUUUAUGAUGAAUCACACUUGGAACAGAGUGAGAGGUCCUGAAAAACCAAGUACCUACCAAGAACAGAGGUUUGAGUUCAAAUACUGCUAGCAUGCUGCUGGCGCUGGCGCCACAGCGUGCUAGCAUUCUGGGAUGCUGUCAUAGCUUAGCGUCAGAGUGAAGUUUGUUGACACUGCCAUGGAAACCCAAUGCUCCGACACACGCAGCACACUGCAGUGCUCUGCCGUGAAACACCACCCAUGAACAUUAAUUGCAUGACCAGGAUCGAAGCAGUGUGGCAGAGUGCUUUUAAUUUUAGUUACACUUUCUAGAGAUUAACAAGUUGUUAGUGAAAUUGCUAUUCAUUAUUCCUAUUACCAUUGUCUAAAUUUCACAUUUCAAGACAGCAUUGACAUGUUAUCUAAAAAAAAGGUUUAGACUUCAGGUGGUCCCGGAUUCAGUUAUUAAGAAGAACAAGGGCAAAAAUUGUCAAAAAAAAAAUUAAAAAUACCUGCCUUCAUCAACACCUCAUCUAAUGACAUAUCCUCCAUGCAAUAAGCAAAAACCGUUUGAAUAACAAUGUAAUAUUUUGCAACCGCUGCACCAUUACUGUCACGUACGCUAUCCCUAGAGUGGUUGCUGGUAAGUAAGUGGUUGUCGUCAUCAACUCGUCAUGCAGCAGCUGAUUGGGAUGGGCGGGGCCUAUUUUUAUCCAGACGAUAGAGAGAGCCGGAAUUUCACACGACGAAAACAAUUGAAUAACCUUGAUUUGUCUACACUUGCCCUUAUCGAUAUCAAGAUUUUUAAGCCCUGUACGCUAUGAGACAAAUCAAAAUUUCAAAUUUCUUCCGUAUGUAAAAUAUAUUGCCAUUAGCGAUUCAGUGAUGAAAAAUGAAUAAAUCUGAAUUUUCAUAAACGAGCAUUGCGUUGAUCUUCGGUCUUCACGUACAUUUUUAUUUGUUGUAUACGCUAAUGGCGCAAGUGCUACAUUCCUACAAAGUGUGAAAUGCCGCUGAGGAUAUAACAGCGGCAGCGACAUAUCCUCCACUCUUCAAACGAUUCCUAUCAUCCAACUUUUAUCGUAACAUCGUAACCCUACCAAUUACCAUUCACAAACUUCCUCCUUCCCUCCCCUCACAAACAUCAAUUUAACGGUAUAGGUGGACAUCAUCUUUCCACAAUAUUAUGGAGACUCCAGAAUCUAACAAACCAGUAGACACUUGUCAAGAUGCUAAAGGAUCAAAUAUGGAGGACUUGGCGAAAUGUAUGGUCUCAUUAUAUCAACCACCAUUGGAAGAAAGCAAAGACCACAUCAAUGAACUCUUGAAUGGACAAGAACGGCUGUUGAAGAUUAUGGAGCAAGAGAACAGUCGUUUCAAGGAAUGUGAAUAUACCUACAAUAUACCUGAACUGAUGCAACAAGUAAGGGUUUACCAAGGGAAAUUGACGAGGAUAAAGAAGCAAAUGACCAAUAUCCACGACCGGUGCGUCAAGCUGAAGCGCCGCUCACUGCGGCUCAAGGAGCAGACGGAGGCGCGUGCCGAGCGCAGUCGGCAGGACAAACUGCGCGCCCAGCAGCGCGAGGAGCAGCUGGUGGCACGGUUCGCCGGCGCCGGUCCCUUGUCCCGACCGGACCCGGGCGCCGGCCCGGCGCCCUGACUGCGUACGGCCAGUUCCUUGUAUGCACUGACCGAGCGCCGACUUCGCGGGGCGUUCACCGUGGGCACUUGUCAUGUACCCAUACUGUGAUGUGAAGUUUUUAUCAGCAUGUGCUGCAGUGUGAAGCCAAUAUUUCCACCUGACUUCUUUCAGUUCUUUCCCUACAUACGGUAAAUGUAUUUGGGGAGUAACGGGGAUACCCGUCCUUGCAAUCUGCGCUGAUAUCGGCUGUUUUAGAGGCUAUGCCGAUGGGAGAUCAUUAACUGGCAUGGGUUAUAAACUUAUUAUAAUUAUGGAUGAGGAAAACCAAUAGCGAAAGUGUUAUGAAAUAUAUGUACUGUUACAAUUGUU